rnacentral:tRNA from 1 species
CAUUAGAUGACUGAAAUGUAAGUAAUGAAUUUUUAAUUCAUAUAAUAGUAUUUUAACAACUACUUCUAAUGA